rnacentral:rRNA from 1 species
UACGUAGGGUGCAAGCGUUAAUCGGAAUUACUGGGCGUAAAGCGUGCGCAGGCGGUUGUGUAAGACAGAUGUGAAAUCCCCGGGCUCAACCUGGGAACUGCAUUUGUGACUGCACAGCUGGAGUGCGGCAGAGGGGGAUGGAAUUCCGCGUGUAGAAGUGAAAUGCGUAGAUAUGCGGAGGAACACCGAUGGCGAAGGCAAUCCCCUGGGCCUGCACUGACGCUCAUGCACGAAAGCGUGGGGAGCAAACAGG